UACGAAGGGUGCAAACGUUGCUCGGAAUUAUUGGGCGUAAAGCGCACGUAGGCGGCAUUGCAAGUCGGAUGUGAAAUCUUAUGGCUUAACCAUAAAAGUGCAUCCGAAACUACAGUGCUUGAGUACUUAAGAGGACGCGGAUCCGGAUCGUAGAGGUGAAAUGCGUAGAUAUCCGGAGGAACACCGAUGGCGAAGGCAACCGCCUGGGCCUGUACUGACGCUGAGACACGAAAGCGUGGGGAGCAAACAGG
rnacentral:rRNA from 1 species